rnacentral:rRNA from 1 species
CCUACGGGAGGCAGCAGUGAGGAAUAUUGGUCAAUGGGCGGGAGCCUGAACCAGCCAAGCCGCGUGAAGGAAGAAGGCGCCAGGCGUCGUAAACUUCUUUUGUCGGGGAACAAAGGGCGCCACGCGUGGCGUUGUGAGUGUACCCGAAGAAAAAGCAUCGGCUAACUCCGUGCCAGCAGCCGCGGUAAUACGGAGGAUGCGAGCGUUAUCCGGAUUUAUUGGGGUUAAAGGGUGCGUAGGCGGUCCGGAAAGUCAGCGGUAAAAUCGAGAGGCUCAACCUCUUUCCGCCGUUGAAACUGUCGGUCUUGAGUGGGCGAGAAGUAUGCGGAAUGCGUGGUGUAGCGGUGAAAUGCAUAGAUAUCACGCAGAACUCCGAUUGCGAAGGCAGCAUACCGGCGCCCGACUGACGCUGAGGCACGAAAGCGUGGGUAUCGAACAGGAUUAGAUACCCGGGUAGUC